CCAAUAGCGUAUAUUAAAGUUGUUGCAGUUAAAAAGCUCGUAGUUGAAUUUCGAGAUCAAAUUGUUGGUCGUGCCUCGGUACGUACUGGCAUUAUUGAUUUCUCCUUCUGACGAACCACGAUGUCAUUAAUUUGGUGUCGCGGGAAAUCAGGACUGUUACUUUGAAAAAAUUAGAGUGUUUAAAGCAGGCUCGCGCUUGAAUACAUUAGCAUGGAAUAAUGAAAUAGGACGUUUGAUUCUAUUUUGUUGGUUUCUAGGAUCGACGUAAUGAUUAAUAGGGAUAGUUGGGGGCAUUAGUAUUCAAUUGUCAGAGGUGAAAUUCUUGGAUUUAUUGAAGACUAACUACUGCGAAAGCAUUUGCCAAGGAUGUUUUCAUUAAUCAAGAACGAAAGUUAGGGGAUCGAAGACGAUCAGAUACCGUCGUAGUCUUAACCAUAAACUAUGCCGACUAGGGAUCGGAUGAUGUUAAUUUUUUAAUGACUCAUUCGGCGCCUUACGGGAAACCAAAGUGUUUGGNUUC
rnacentral:rRNA from 1 species